UGGGGAAUAUUGGACAAUGGGGGGAACCCUGAUCCAGCCAUGCCGCGUGUGUGAAGAAGGCCUUAUGGUUGUAAAGCACUUUAAGCGAGGAGGAGGCCUUCUUUAGUUAAUACCCAAGAUGAGUGGACGUUACUCGCAGAAUAAGCACCGGCUAACUCUGUGCCAGCAGCCGCGGUAAUACAGAGGGUGCGAGCGUUAAUCGGAUUUACUGGGCGUAAAGCGUGCGUAGGCGGCUUUUUAAGUCGGAUGUGAAAUCCCCGAGCUUAACUUGGGAAUUGCAUUCGAUACUGGGAAGCUAGAGUAUGGGAGAGGAUGGUAGAAUUCCAGGUGUAGCGGUGAAAUGCGUAGAGAUCUGGAGGAAUACCGAUGGCGAAGGCAGCCAUCUGGCCUAAUACUGACGCUGAGGUACGAAAGCAUGGGAGCAACA
rnacentral:rRNA from 1 species